UUUUUUAAAUUUCAUCUAUUUAUAUUAUUAAAAAUUAAUUUGUCUGACGAAAUAAUCAAAUAGUGAUACAUAAUAUGUCACAUGUAUUCAUAUUGAUGUACAAAGAUCAAUUUUUAAUAAUACAAAUGAAUGAAAUUUUUAACA
rfam:Gossypium hirsutum cultivar TM-1 chromosome 21, whole genome shotgun sequence